AAGAGAUUUCUUCGUCCUCUUGAUCCUCUCGACAAGGAGAACUCGAAGACGCGAGGAAGAGGCCGAGAUCGUGAGUUUCUCUGAAGCCCUAGAAGCUAUCUUGCUCGGUUGUAAGUCCAAGAACCGAAGAUAAAGGAAAAGCUAAAGUAUAAGGAAGGAGGCGACAAGGAGAU